UCAUCCUACACAGGUUGGAAAGUGAUCACUUGUUUAGGAAACUUCACUCUGUCUACAUGAUCACAACCACUGAGAGGUUUACUUAAACCGAUAGUGGAAUUAGGGACUGAGAGGCAAGGAUAAGAGAAACACAUUACAUUUAAAGCAGCAUCUAGUUAGCAGCUGCCUGAUGUAGCUUUCCCCAACUCCCCACUAAAAUACAUACAGACACAGAAAAAGAUUAAAAACCCUAAGUCAUUCAGUCAUGCAAAAAAUAUUCAUCUGACAAGCACUGAGUAAAUAGUCACCGCUUUCAAGGAAUUUCUGGUGCAGUCACUAAACCCAACUCUGUCUUAGUUAACUAUUGCUGCGUAACAAAUUACCCCACAACUUGGGAGCGUAAAACAAUAUUUAUUCUUGUGGGUCAGAGUCCAGCCAGGGCUUAGCUGGGUGCCUGGUUCUGGGUCUCUCACAGAGCUGUAGUCAUCUCAAGGCUCAAGUGGAAGGAUCUGCCUGCUUCCUCGCUCAUGUGGUUGCUGGUGGGAUUCAGCUCCUCAGUGGUUGUUGGACUGAGGAUCCCCGGGUUCUUUGAGGACCCCUUUGGUACCGGGCUCCAUUUCUCUGUUGUGGUGCUGGAGGCUCUUCGCGAUCAAAGCCUAGGUGUGAACGUCCUAACGCUAGCCUUCCUUCUUCAUUUACUAACCGCAGCACUCCUACGAAGAGAAACUUCCCCGCAGUCUGCAUUUGGUUUCUCAGUGAUAGAGUUCAUACAGGAAAGGCAACAUAAAUGCUUGAUUUCUUACCUUUAUUUAUCAAUUUUCGAAAUAAUAAUUUGGUCUCUAGUAUCCUCCCACAGAGACCAAUUAGGGCUUUGGGGUGGGUUGGGGUGGGGGAUGUUGUGAAUGCAUGAAUUUAAUUAUUUGAUGUGUUUCAAUCCAUUGCAGUUAUCCCCACUGAUGCUCAAAUUAUCCAUCAUCAGCCAGUGGAAGCCCCUUCCAUUGGUUCCCGAAUCCUUUUAAUGCAUAAUCCUCACUACCUAGUGCCAAAAGAUGUUCAGGUUGAUCUUGUAUAUUUCCCACUCAGACCUGGACUCAGCCAUUUCUCCUCGAAGCUCUGGUUCUUUUUAAUGGAAAAGGAAUUAAAGUUGUUAUGUACCAUAUGGGGUCACAGAAUCAAAGACCCGGGCCGUAGGUGUUGAAGGAGAUGUCACCUUGGUGAGCAAAGCUAUACUAGAAUCUGCUAGAACUCAGAAUUCCACUGGGCACUAUUCACACCAACCUCCUCUCAAGCUGUUGAUCUAAGAAAAGGAUGCUAUUAUCUCCCAAGCAGAGAGCGUGGGGCCAAGCUGACGGCUUUGUUUCAUUCAAUCCAAGUAAGUAAAAUGAGAAAAAAAUGGAGCCCAUGGAAAAAGGCUACUGAGUAAGAGAAAGGACAAAUCCUUUCCUCCCUAAAGAACAAGAGGAAGGGACAAGUCCCUGAAAAUGCAGAUCACUGCAGGAAGAAAGUGCCGGGACGUCAUUCAGCAUCCUAAAUAGGGUGGAAGGAGAGACGUCUUUCACAAAACACGAGCAGACAGCCGCAGGAUGAAAACAAGCUGAGGAGAAAAAGAACAAAAUAAAUAGAAAAGUAGAUGCAUGAGAUAAGGAAUUCUAAGGUAAAAUUAAAAACACAAGAGCAAAAUUACGAUCAGACUCUGCAUCGACAUAUAUAAUACGGUUGUUUUCACGUAACAAUAUAUGAGAACUAUCUUUCCAUAUGUCAUUAAACAUUUUUUUCACUGUGAUAUUUCCAAUGACUGGACUGCAUAGGUAAUUCAACAUAGGAAGGGCCACACUCCCUUGAACUCAACCCCUCAUGUUAGAAAAUUCAAUAUUUUCCAGGUUUUUCUGCCGUUACGAGUAAUAUGAAGAGGACAUAUUCUUGUACCUCUGUCCAUGUAUUCACCAACUAUUUAUCGAGCAUCUAAUGAUUACUGGACAUGGUGCUAGGUGCUGGGGUGCGAGGCGGUGAAAAAGAUGGACACAGUUCCCGUCUUCAUGGACCUUGCAGUACAACAGAGAAACAGGAGAAUUAAUUUGCUGACUGUUUACGACACAGAACAAGACUUGACAUACAGGGAUGGAGCAGCUCAGAGUCCAUCUGAAGGAGGCAGAAGGGGUAGCAUUUUCUGGCAUCAGAGUCGAACACAUUACAAGACCUAGGAAAUUUGGCUCUAAGAUGUCUGGCAAAGAAGCAGAAAGAAACACAGUAAGUUACAUAAUUUUCAUUGUCCAAUAAGACAAAGAAUUCUAACAUUCUUCUGUGGAGGUAGCUUUUUCUGAGGUCUAAAAUCAAGCAGGAAUUUAUUACAUGAAUCCUCGUAUAAAGGGUACUGAGGGACACUGAAGACUAUCUGUGAUACUGUGAUUCAUAAGAAAUAGUAUACAUUUGGUUUUUGUCUAGUUUCUGGCAUGGAAUUCCUAAAACCAUUGGAAUUUCCUGAGCUAUAAGAGCAAUGGCAGCAUCUUUUGUUAUAGUAUUUGGUCUCUUGUCUUCAGUUCCUGAAAUCGCUUCAGAGCCAUAAAGGUGAAAUGGGUGUCUUGUUAUUCAUAACAAACUCCCUUCAAUCACAACUGGUUUAUGUUAAUGAGGUGACUUUUGGAAACGCCCUAAAGAUAGGAGGGGGCCGGUCACCAAGGAAGCCGACCGCGUGAUUAGAGGGUUGGAACAGUCCCACCCGUGAUCUCCGGGGAGGGGAGAGGGCUGGAGACUGAGUUCAGUCAUCAAUGGCCAAUGAUUGGAUCAGUCAUACCUAUGUAAUGCAGCCUCCAUAAACAUUCAAAAGGAGGGGCUUCAGUGAGCUUCCAGGUUAGUGAACACAUGGAGCUUUGGAGAGACUGACACUCCUGGAGAGGCAUGGAAGCUGGGCUCCCCUCCCCCAUACCUUGCUCUAUGCGUCACUUCCAUCUGGCUGUUCCUUUCCUGAGUUAUAGCCUUUCAUAAUAAAUGGGUAAUCUGUAAGCAAAAUGUUUCUCUGGGUUCUGUGAGCCGCUCUAGCACAUUAAUUGAAUCCAAGGAGGGGGUCACUGGAACCUCCCAUGUCUAGCCAGUCGGUCAGAAGCCAGUCUGAAGUCGGGGGUGGCGCGGUAGGGACAGUCUUGUAGGACUGAGCCUUUAACCUGUGGGAUCUGACACUAUCUCUGGGUGGAUAGUGUCAGAAUUGAGUUGAACUGUAGGACACAGCUGGUGUCGGAGAAUGGCUUGCUGGUGUGGGGAAAAACCCCCCUCCGCACAUCUGAAUUGGGUGCUCAGACCCCUUACUAUCUUUAAACAUUUUAUAAAGAAAUCCUAUUAAGCUCAUUUGCCUGGAUGGCUCUCUAUGAACUUGCCAUAAAAGCCCCCAGCAAGGUACCUGCUCCUAACCUGGGGAAGGUUUUUAUGCAAAGAGCUGAAAGGUGGGGUCUGGGUCUCUGUCUCCUGGUCAUAUUUCUGUCUUCCUCUCAUUGGUGGAGCUCUGCCACCAGCAAGGCACUUUCAGAUCCCAUGCUGCUCCAGCUCUGCUGUGAAAGCCCCCUCACGUGAAUACGAGCUGGGGGUGGGUGAGGAGAGGUUGUAGCCCAAAAAGGCCAGCUGUAAGCUAAAAUUUCUUCGAAGAUUUGCAAUUUAUAUUUAAAAGCCAUGUGAAUUUUACAGUCUGUUUCAUAAUGUGUUAUACAUAAAAAUGUGUUUCCCCCUUAAAACUUCUAACAAAAUUGGUGCUCCAGGAAGAUGGGCUGUAUUUAUCCUACUUGAGUAUCCCUUGGCAAGCCGCCUCGGACCUCACUCCUCCCACAGACAUGCUAUGAUUUUAAUUUGAUGUUGGGACAGUACUUCCAGGGUCUAGAUUAGUAAACUGCUUCUGUCCAGUAUUAAAUGUCUUAGAACAGAACAUCAUCUAUUAGUCUAAGGUAUCGAGAGGAGGGUCUGCAUAGCUCUGGCAGACAGGUGUUCAAAUACGAGUUGACACUACCUUGUGAAUAUUUAUGAGUUGGACUUCCCGUACAGCCGGCAGAGAAAGCCAGUGUUCCACACAGGUCCAAACGUCAAGAGCAACGACAUUAGGCAAGAGCUAAUACUUAUUUCUCAGGAAAGAUAUUUUAAUCUGUAGAAUCAUGAUUGAUCACGACCUACCUGAAGGCCCAGGGAGAAGAUGCUUGGGUAGUGGACACUUGGUGGGGCUUACCUCGCUACAGUAACAAGGCUCUAAGGAACGGUUUGAAAUCUCCAACUUGGCACAGGCCCUCUGUGAGAGGAAGAAUGCUCUAAGCACUUUGCACAUUGAGUCAUUUAUUCUGUAAGCUCAGUCCCGUUCAGUUGGCCCUUUUUCCGGCUAGGAUUCCUGGGUCUUGAAAGCCUAAGGUUAGCUAAAGCAACUCUGCAGGGAGGGGUGAUGUGCAAAUCCUCUAGCUGCGUUUAGGGUUGGGCUGGACCAUCAUCUAUGUUUACAGAACGGUGGAAGGCCCAAGAUCAAUUGGAAAAAGAUGUAUCCUCCUAAAAUGGGAGGCCACAACCUCCAUGAGCAAGACUCUUGGCGUGCAGGUCAUGGGUAGGCCAGUAGCCAUCGGAAAGCUCCGUUUAACAAGGAAGAAAAUACUUCAUUGCGAGAAAGUAUCUAAAACAGAUGCUGGCCACCUCUUCCAUAGAAGAACCUCAGAAUGACCUCAGCAGUACAGCUAUUUCAAGAAAAAUUUCCUCUCAAUGAACCAUCAAAUGAGUAAGCUACAAAUUGCAUCCCAAAAGAGCUAAAAGAUUGAACUCUUUGGUACCAUUUUUAAAGAGUCAUUUAAAUACUGGCAAAACUGCUAUUUCAGACUACACAGGUUAGCCAGUGGGAAGCACCAGCAGGAGGUAAGGUUGGGUAUUUACUCCUCCAGAGCCCUCCUUGCAGGGCUGUUGGUUGGCAGUGGCUGCAUUUCUCUACAGAAGGCUAUAGUCCUGUUGAGGAGCCCUCUCCUACAGCUACAGCUCCCACCAAAUUCUGGCAACUGCUCCCUCCCCCGCCCCUUCGGCUUUAGGGGUAAAAAUGCCAACCUGAGAUGUUUCACCACCCCUUCCCGGUUUCUACUAAGCCUGACCACACUGCUGCGGAUGGUCCCUUCAUUAACCUCUAUUCAGCUCCCCUUUGGCCUGUGUCUUCUUUCCACUGCUGGCACCCUGACCCAGAGACACUCCUCACUCCAGGUCCGGCUGAGGAGGCAGCCACCAUCUGCAACUGACAAGAAAAAGAGCACCGUGGACGGUACCUUGUUGUAAAGGCUUCUUCUUGGAAAUGACACAUGAUACUUGGGUCCAUUCUUCAUAGACCAAAGCAAGUCAUAAGGUGUAUUCAUUAUGUAUUGUUGUAUAACAAAUAACCGCAAAACUUAGUGGCUGAGAGCAAUUACCACUUAUGCUGUCACACAGUUUCUGAGGGCCAGGAAUCUGGGAGUGGCUUAGCUGGGUGGUUCUGGCCCAGGGUCUCUCACAAGGCUGCAGCGAAGAUGCCAGGGCUGCAGGCAUUUGGAGGUCUGACAGGGGCUGGGGGAUCUGCUUCCAGGGCGGUUCACUAACAUGCCUGCAACUUUGGACUGGUUGUUGGCAGGAGGCCUUGGUUCCUAGCCAGUGGACCUCUCUAAAGGGCUGCUUGAGUGUUCCCAUGACAUGGCAGCCGGCUUCCCCUGGAAUGAGCAAGUCAAGAGAGAGCCCAAGAGGGAAGCCACAAAACCUUUUAUGACCUAGUCUCAGAAGUCAGACACUAUCACUUCCAGAAUAUCCUAUUCAUUCUAAGUGAGUUAUUAACUCUAGCCCAUAUCAUAUGGGCAAAGCUAAACUUCAUCUCCAGAAGGGAAGAGUAUCAAAAAACACAUGGAUAUUUUAAAACCACCACACAGGCCUACACCUAACUUCAAAGCAUACAAUGUGGCCGGAAGAUGAAGCUCAAACAUUUGGCGAAUAGUACUAAUGACUGGAAGAAUCCCAGGAGAUUUUAUUGGCCACUUAAGAAUUAAAAUCUGGAUCCAAGUUUUACCAUUGUGUUUGAUUUAUGAAUCUUUGCUAUAUGAAUCUUGGGGUCAUGGUGUUGAAAUAGAAUUUGAUCCCAAUCCAGAAAUCCCUAGGAGUGGGAAGAGGGACAGCCCAACAGCCAGACUUCCUUGAAAUGAUAAGUAAUUCCCAGGGCUAAUCCCCUCUGGGAAGAAGAGAUUCUUUACGUAAGAAAAUGAAUUAUUACAUGAGGCCCUAGGCAGGCAGGAGUGGGGAAAUCCAGUUCUUUUCAUGAGCCUCAUUGUGCUGACCUUGAACUUCCCUGGUGGGGGGAGCCAAGGUGGUGUCCACCCUGUGGAGCUGGGAGGUCUGGAGUCAGAGAGAGGGACUUCUGGAGAGAGUCACAAAAUAAACCCUGGCUUGUGAGCCAACUUCCCUCUUCCAUAUUACUCUUUGUGUUCAUUUCUCAUUUGUAUGUCCUAAGGUUUUGAUAAAACCUAUUUGAGCGGGCUAGUCUUGUCCCAGAAGUCCAGAUCAUGAGACAAAGGUGAUGUAUCAAGGGGGGAGCAGCGUGUGGGAGGCAGGAGUAGCUGAAGAGAGACUCAUGGGGAGAAGUCAGGCUCAAGCUCCAAGUUGGAGCCACACGGUCCAGCUCUCCCCACCAAGAGACUCUGCUCUCAUGACUAGACAUAGAAAUUCUGGGUUGUAUUUUAUUAAGACAUCCAGUAUUUCCUUACUACCAGCUACCCCCAAUCUGCUUGACCCCGCAACCUCAGCUGUCAACACAGCAGCCCAGAAAUCUAGGCAAUACUAAGAUCUUGGGCAGUGGGUGCAGAUGCCCAACGAUGUAUUUGUGAGGGAGUUGUGCAAUCAUUUCCAGACCUAAGACCUGAGGCAGAAGAAAUGGAAGAGACUUCCAGUCAGGGCAAGAGGUCCAAGAGAGUCAGAGAGAGUUUCUCUAUCUGAUGGAGCCGAGGCCCUGCAGGGAAAUGAAAACGCUUUCCACCUUUGAAGUCUUCCCCAGGACCUGGGUGAACUUCUGGUGAGCGUCUCUCCCCCCAGCAAAGCAAGGUCAUAGGAACAAACAACACAACACCUCAUGCCGUGCCUGCUCCACAGCGGCCUUUGGACUGUGGGCUCGUGGCGGCGUUCCAGCCGUGGAGAGGCAACGCAGACCCGGGUCAGGAUUUGCUGGGGCACCAGGCAUCGAUUGUACCUGUAUGAUGAACAAGCAUGGUUUGUGACUAAAACUUUAUUUUUCUGUCUCCCACUACCCUUUAAACUUUAUUCAGUGAGGAAACUUUUCUUCUGCUACUGGAUGAAAACUCAGGAGGCCUCAUGAUUUUUGGGUGCUCAGUUUUAGGUAACAGAGAGCCUUGCAGUCACUUUAGGUCAGAAGGACAAUCUCAUUCAGUGGUUAUAUAGUGGGCUUUCCUUAAAGACUCUUCAGUCUCCAUUUGAAGGAAAGUCUCCCUCUCUCACAGCCGAGGCUUGCAGUUGGUGCUACCAUCUCUGGGAAAGUCUUCUUCCAACCCAGUCCCCUGGCCUCCAUCCCAUAGCGGCUCUUUCCACCAUCACCAGAUGAGGGAAAGGGCAGGCAAUGAGGUAAGGGGUCUGGUCUCACGCUGCUUGCCUGGACAGCUUUGCGCUCUCUGGGCUGACAGAGAAUUAAAGCUGACUCCCUGUCGUGGGUGCUUUCAUGGAUGGCUCAGAGACUCCCACCCCAGGACUUUCCUCCCAGUUCCCUUGACCCACGUGAUGCAUCUGUAUUCUGGAUGGUCACUUGUGACAUCUUUACUUCCAGCUUCUUACUGGGGCCCCACAGGCUAACUCCUCCGUGUGGCCCACUUCUGAUCCAUGGGAAACACACUUGUCUUUGUUCCAGUGAAGUCUGGGAUGACCCUAAGAUACCAGCAAGCUCCUAGCUCUGCCCCCAAAUCCCUGAAUCAGUGCAUCUGUCUGUCCUACUCCAGAGAAGGGAAUCAGACCCCAGGCUCCAGGCACCCCCUCAACUCAGGAGGUCUUGUGGUAUGGUCGCUAUCUCCAAAGAUGGCCGCCAUCAAUUCCUUCCCUUCCUUUAUAUACAUGCCCAAUCAGCUAGCAAGAAGUGGAGUCUAUACUCCUAUACUCCACCCCCUAGAAUCUGAGCUAGCCUGUGACUGCUUAACUAACAGCAUGUGGUGGAAGUGACUCUGUGCCAGUCCUGGGCCUGUCCUUUAAGAGGAUUGGCAGCUUCCCCUUCCUCCCUUCCUCCCUGUUGGCACCCAGCCUCCAUGCCGUGAGGAAGCCCAGGCAGCCACACAGAGGAGAAGCAAAGCCCUCAGCCAGCAAUCCCCACUGACCACGCAGCCAUCAGCCAGUGCCAGCUUGCCAGCCAGCAAUAGGUGACUGAAAUACUGGGUGAGCUCUCCAGCGAGUGUCAUGGAAGCCUUUCCUGCUCAGCUGGGGAUGAAGCUGAUGACACCCCCUUUCCUUCCCACGUGGGUACAUGGAGGACUCAGCAUGGCAACAGAUCUCUCCAAGGAAGACUCUUCACACGUCAUCCCCUCUCCCCACGCUCUAACUGAUUUUCAGAUCCCUGAUCUGCCUGAGGCGUCCAAGAGACAUAGAACCAGUUCUUAAAACUCCUUUGUCAAUUCAAGAUGUUUGAGAAUUCUGUCUCACACUCACUUGGAGGCCUAAUAUUGUUCAUAUUAAUUUCUCGGCUAAAGCUAAGGCCCAAAGAACCUCAUCUUGAGGUCCUGGGGCACCGAGUCCAGGCCUGGCUGGGGCAUACACUGACCCCUGAGAGCCUUCAGGCAGGUGGGUGGUGCCAAGCAGUGAGUUUUUCAAAUUUCUUUUAGCCAGAAAGUCCUGACAGAAUCUUAUUUGAAGGCCCAAACCAGUUGAAAGCCACGUUAUAGUUGAAGAGGGAGUGAGAGGUCUGAGCUGGGCCAGGGCCCCCCCAUCCUUGCCCCGAUAGUGCCCCUAACGUGACAUAAAUGGCCUGGGUUCUGCAGAGCACAACUGGAACACCGCUGUAUACGGCGAUGAGCUCGAGCUUGGGAGCAGCUUGAACUUCUCUGCAUCUCAGCUUCUUCACUGUAAGAUGCGGGAGACAACACUACAUACCUCACAGGU